UACGUAUGGUGCAAGCGUUAUCCAGAUUUACUGGGUGUAAAGGGAGCGCAGGCGGAAGGCUAAGUCUGAUGUGAAAGCCCGGGGCUCAACCCCGGUACUGCAUUGGAAACUGGUCAUCUAGAGUGUCGGAGGGGUAAGUGGAAUUCCUAGUGUAGCGGUGAAAUGCGUAGAUAUUAGGAGGAACACCAGUGGCGAAGGCGGCUUACUGGACGAUAACUGACGCUGAGGCUCGAAAGCGUGGGGAGCAAACAGG
rnacentral:rRNA from 1 species